rnacentral:rRNA from 1 species
UACAGAGGUCCCAAGCGUUGUUCGGAUUUACUGGGCGUAAAGGGUGCGUAGGCGGUCGGGUAAGUCUGAUGUGAAAUCUCACAGCUUAACUGUGAAACUGCAUUGGAUACUAUCCGGCUAGAGGAAUGGAGGGGAGACUGGAAUACUUGGUGUAGCAGUGAAAUGCGUAGAUAUCAGGAGGAACACCGGUGGCGAAGGCGGGUCUCUGGGCCGUAACUGACGCUGAGGAGCGAAAGCGUGGGGAGCGAACAGG